rnacentral:rRNA from 1 species
AUUGAACGCUGGCGGCAUGCCUUACACAUGCAAGUCGAACGGCAGCACGGGUGCUUGCACCUGGUGGCGAGUGGCGAACGGGUGAGUAAUACAUCGGAACAUGUCCUGUAGUGGGGGAUAGCCCGGCGAAAGCCGGAUUAAUACCGCAUACGAUCUACGGAUGAAAGCGGGGGACCUUCGGGCCUCGCGCUAUAGGGUUGGCCGAUGGCUGAUUAGCUAGUUGGUGGGGUAAAGGCCUACCAAGGCGACGAUCAGUAGCUGGUCUGAGAGGACGACCAGCCACACUGGGACUGAGACACGGCCCAGACUCCUACGGGAGGCAGCAGUGGGGAAUUUUGGACAAUGGGCGAAAGCCUGAUCCAGCAAUGCCGCGUGUGUGAAGAAGGCCUUCGGGCUGUAAAGCACUUUUGUCCGGAAAGAAAUCCUUGGCUCUAAUACAGUCGGGGGAUGACGGUACCGGAAGAAUAAACACCGGCUAACUACGU